rnacentral:misc_RNA from 1 species
UUCCGUUUGAAGUUGCUUCGUCGAUAUGCUGAAGGUGGCUUGAGGUGGUAUUAUAUCGUUGGUUUACAACUGUCAAAGAUCUGUCCGAUUCGGAUGAAAACCAAAAUUGUACGAUGUAGCCGGCUAACCUAACCGAAGUCGAAAGUCCUGAGGUGAUAAGAUAUUGAAACAGAUUACUGUGGCUAUAUAAAUAACGACAGUCGUGGAUAUUUUAGAAGCAUCAGUUGUCUUUUUCAUCUGUUUAUUUUUCAUUUAUAAAGUAGUGUACGCUAUGGAGGUAAUUGUUAAGCUAAAUUCGCAAACAGCCGGCCGCGAUAAACUUGUUAGGUUACUGCAGUAUACGAGCAAAUUCGCUUGGCAUUAUAUGCAGGAAAAGCAGCAUAGCAAACAGUCAGUAGAUCGAUUAAAGGAUCUGGAGUACACAUUUAGUUCCUUCAGAAAAUUGUUGCGUUUGGGCAGGUGUUUGGAUGUGCUUUACGGGGCUUUGUCAUCUGUGCAAUAUCCUGAUUUGACCCUGAGGAUAACUUGUACACUGUCCAGAAUUGCUAAUGCCUUGUACUUGUUGGCUGACCAUAUUCUUUGGUUUGGCAGAACAGGCGUGUUAAAUAUCAACAGUGCCAAAUGGAAUCAAGUUGCAAAUAAGUAUUGGCUGUACUCUAUUGUCAUGAAUUUAGUGCGGGAUGUUUAUGAGAUACUGCAGAUUGUGAAAUAUGAGACUCAUAACUGUAUAGGACUUAAACGCAUGGGCAGCCCUGAUUACUACAGAAAGCCUUCAACAGAUAAACUCUCUGUAAUUAAGUUUGUGCAAGAACACAAGGAUGUUGUUAUUGACACAGUGAAAAAUGGUUGUGACUUCUUUAUUCCAAUGUCUGCUCUGGGCUAUAUCAGAUUAAAUCCUGGUACAGUUGGUGUACUUGGUGUGAUUUCUUCAGUGGCAGCUAUCAUAAGUCUCGUCGAUCCUUUCGCCCGGCUUUCACCAGCAUAACUCAGUACGGGUGGAUUCCACAGAAGUGGUAUUACAGAAGAUACUCGAGAUUUUAAGUAAAAGGGGCUUCUAACAAGAGCCCUGAUGCUAACAGUUACCAGGCUGUAGAUAACACGCACCUAGGUAUUGCUGUUUGAAGCAGUCAGUGGCAGUUGUGGAGAAGGUGUGAUGGUAUACCUCAAACAACAGCAUGCUGGCAGUGUAUAACAACUUGGAACACAGAAUGGUUGAGAUGCUGCCCACAGGAAAGUUAGAGAGGGGGAAAAAAAUUGAUUUUAAAUCAUUCAGUGUUAUUUAAUAGGUAACUUAAGCCAUUGAAUUGUAUAUGUACAGAAGUUUCCAAAGUGGAAACUAUAUAAAUAAUUACCAUUACAUUGUCACUAUAGGCUGUGAAGUGUUUGCCAUCCAAAUGUAAUACAUCAUAAGAUCAUGUUAUAAAAAAAAAUUGUAGAAGAGUAUUUUUAAUGGGAAUUCCUUAUGGUGGUUCAUAAAUUACCAUUCUCCAUGUCUCAAGUUGCCACAGUUUAGUUAUAAUGACUUGACUUGGGGGACUGUAAUGCAUACGGCAAAUGGCUACUCUUGUUUGUGUUGAAUUUAAUUUGUUGUGAGUUGGUUAUAUAAAUUUUAAAUUCAUGGCCUAUAUAAAAUUAUCCAGAUACCCUUUUACAUUAACUGCUGAAUCAAAUUGUGAAUGUAUUUUGGAGUUCAAGAAUGCUUGCCAUUUAAUACUGACAUUCAAUCAAAGAAAGAGCAUUACCCAUUCUAUAAAUAUGACAACUAUUAAUGGAUGUGGAAUAGUAUUACUGACUGUGCUUUAAUAUUUCAUAAUUGGUUAUGUCAGCUUCUGCAAAUGUAUCCUUGAACUCACAUACUUUGUCUUUACUGUGUUUAGGAGCUGCUCUUUCCUCUGUAAGAAAAGUGAAAGUCUCCUUGCAGUAAUCUGUAAAUCAACUAACACUAAUAUGUAUUGUAUAAAAAGAUUGUUCAGAAAAUUAUCAAAACAACAAAGACUGCAGUACUACAUCCAGGAAGUGCAAUUCCCAGUGCUGUCAAUAGGCACAAAUGUAGAUCACAGCACUCAAAGCUUUUUCAACAGUAGGUACCUGUCAUAAAAGUGUGUCCUCGUACCUUGGGAUUUAAAUAACCUGAUAGGCCUCACCUUCCUUCAUAUUCAAUUUAAACUCCCCAAGCAAUAUCUCUUUCCUGCUCAAGGACAAUGUCAUUGGGGGCGGGGGAUAAGAAUGCUAUACUCUACUUUUGUGUGUUGUUUUUGGCAGUAAUAGAAGUUGCACGUCUUGGAAGGUAAAUACUGGCCAGCCUUUCUCAUUCUGAGAGUCAGAGCGCAUGAGAGCGCGCGCACACACACACACACACACACACACACACACACACACACACACACACACACACUUUAUCCUAAAUCAGCUAAUUUAAUUUUUGCAAUUUUCCACUGUUUCACCAAAAUUAUGACAGUUUAUACUGUUUUUUUUUAUUACACUACAUAAAUGUACAAGCAUGAGAAGUGUGUGUACAUUCAUGCAUAUGUUCACAGAAAAUGUUGAUGUUUUUUAAUGUUUUAAUCAAUAAAAUAUGACAUUCCACUCA